UACGGGGGGGGCAAGCGUUGUUCGGAAUUACUGGGCGUAAAGGGCUCGUAGGUGGCCAACUAAGUCAGACGUGAAAUCCCUCGGCUUAACCGGGGAACUGCGUCUGAUACUGGAUGGCUUGAGUUUGGGAGAGGGAUGCGGAAUUCCAGGUGUAGCGGUGAAAUGCGUAGAUAUCUGGAGGAACACCGGUGGCGAAGGCGGCGUUCUGGACUGCAACUGACACUGAGGAACGAAAGCCAGGGGAGCAAACGGG
rnacentral:rRNA from 1 species